rnacentral:rRNA from 1 species
CAGUCGCCGCGGGAAUACAGAGGAUGCAAGCGUUAUCCGGAAUGAUUGGGCGUAAAGCGUCUGUAGGUGGCUUUUCAAGUCCGCCGUCAAAUCCCAGGGCUCAACCCUGGACAGGCGGUGGAAACUACCAAGCUGGAGUACGGUAGGGGCAGAGGGAAUUUCCGGUGUAGCAGUGAAAUGCGUAGAGAUGUGGAGGAACACCGAUGGCGAAGGCAGCCCCCUGGGCCAAUACUGACGCUCAUGCACGAAAGCGUGGGGAGCAAACAGGAUUAGAUACCCCUGUAGUCCCUGUCUCUUAUAC